AAUCAAAAACCACAGAGCUCUUGCUGUAAUAAAAUUAAUUGUGAGCUCUAUUUUGGUGAAUUGGGGUGCCUGGGAAGUCAGCAUACCUUGUGCAGCAGAAGCAGGCACAAGGCUGCUCUGUCAAGGAGAACAAAGUUUUCUUCAAAAAUAUCAGAUGUUGGAGAAUGUAUUUCCAGCUGUAAUGCUUUUCACACAUGAACUGCAUGUUUUAGGGUUUUUUUCUGCUGAUAAAGUGAUACAGAUCAAUUAUAAUUAUUUUGUGAAGAAAGAUACUCUUCCUAGUAAGUCAGAUUUCUAAAGUUCAGGUUUUUUUGAGGAUAGCUGAUGCAGGUGUAGUGCGAGAGGUACCAUCAGCACUCAGAUCUCUGGUGCACUGCUUGCCUGCAGUGCUGUUGUCCUCUGGAGAAUAAAAAUGAGAAAUUGAAUGAAAACAAUUACUUCUAGUAUUUUAAAUUACAUUUAGCAUUCUCUCUGUGUUUCUUCUUGUGCUCAUGUGAACAUGCUUUCCCUCAAAAAUGCACUUACCAAUAAAGUGCAUGUCAACAGUAUGGGAAAUUUAUACUCCAUUCCUGCAAGUAAAUACACGUACUGAGAACAUAUUUUCAGUUGUGCCCUGUAAAUGACCUUGCUGGAGACUGUUCGUGCAAUCCUACGCACCAGGAGCAGCUGUUCCACCCAACUGGCUGCUGCCAAGAAGGUGUAGUGGUCUCAAGUUUUGACAGGCAAGAAGCUGAAAUCCUAGGAAAAUUAGUUCUUUUAAAUUAUUAUUUAGGAUAUAACUAAAUAUCCAUUGGUAGAAAUCUUUAGUCAUCAACUUUUUACAGAUUUUUGGAGUACUCUGUUUUUAUGAACUACAGCCAAGUUAUGUGGUUAUCACCCUGCUUAAGGGUAGUCUGACUUCAUGAACCUUCUACACUUACCAGCCAGGUUGACACAUCUCUUAGGUACUUCACUGCCCUCAUUGCAGAGACACUCCCAGGUAACUGGGUGAAAAAUUAGUUCCUCCAUUAUGUUUAAAUACAUCAGCAAGGUGAAAACUAGAACAAGAUGUUCACAUCUUUAACCAAAAAUUGUCAAAGACAAUUGAGAAACUGUGAAAUAAAGAUAUUAUUUCUUUUCUUACAGCAUUAUUACAACAUACAAUGCAGUCAGGAAACUAUUUAAUUUUGUCCUUUCCUCAUGACGAUGAUGAUAAUUGCUUCUAUUGGAACUUUGGAGAAGAAUAACUAAUCAAAAAUUAAAAUGAAGGCAGGAGGGAAAUAGAAAAAUACAAACAAAUCAAAAACCCAACCCCAAUCACCAGACUUUACAGGAUCCUAAAAUUCAGUGGUGACUAGGGAAGUUGCCUGGGAUCCAUUGUGGACAACACUGCAAACAUGGACUGGCUGGACGUACUAUAUAGCUACAGAUAAAAACAAACAAGAUGUUGGGGUACAUGUGGAAUGAGAUGAGGAGAAAUACAGAAAAUGAAACCAGGAUGUGUCAGCUGGGUGGUGCUUUCUUUCAUGUGCUUGUUGCAUGUCACACCUCGCUUCCAGAAAAUGACCUCCAAAGGACCAGAAAAAGAAGCAUCAAUGGUACAACCACAUUAUUGACACAGCCUUGGGACGAAGGGCCCGAUGUGGCUGCUGCUGCUUGGCACUGCACAGAGAAGUAACCAGACACACUUUGCUCCUUUCUAUGCAACAGAUAUUGCAAGGUAAAAGUCAAUAAUAUGUGAGUGGCCAACAGUUCAAGGAUGCAUCUCAUAGUCCAGCAACACACUCCUGCACAUAGGGUUAUUUGAAUGCACAAGGUUAAAAUUGACAUCCUGCACUUCAGUACUUACAAACAUCACCCCACUGACCACCAAUAUCACAAAACAGCAAGGAAAAAAUACUGAGGAAAAAAACUAAAAAAAAAUUUAGAAGUUUACCAGAAAAAUUCAGGAAACUGAAAGCUUUGAUUAACUUUGAUAACAGAUCAUCUGUAAGUGAUCGCAUAAAAACGUAGGGGAACUUUUCACUACACUUUUCUUAUUUCCAGAUUUUACAAUCUUUCCUCUUCCUCCAGGAUAGAUUGUUAAAUUUUUAAAAUUCCAUACAGGUAUUAACUAAUACCAACAGGAAUUAUAAACAAAUAGCUGAAAAUGAUUCUUCAGUGCACAGAAUAAGUGGAGAUGCUGGCAUCUCAGAGCUAUCCUAAGGUAACCUACAUGAUUUCUACCUUUGCCCUGUUUCCCAAAAGUUAAUUAAAAAAAUCUGCAAGUUUAUCUUCCAUGAAAGCUUCUUCUCAAUGUUUUGAACAACUGUACUUUCUGUCACACUGUAUCCACAGGAUGAUGUUAUUUACAUUCGUUUUUGGUUUCAGUUUUUCACUGACUUUGUAGCACUGUUUUGCUGGAUUUUGGCACCUGUACCAUCCGUGUUUGGAAUAUUGUUAAGAAAAGACCAGCACAGUUGCUUAUGUAAUAUACUAAUAUGACACAUCUGGGUACAAAGGCAUGCAAAAUUCACUGUGAACAUGAAAAGGUCUGCCUGUGCUCCUCCAUUGUGGCAAGUGGAAUGCAGAAACUUUCCCUCUUCCCAUGCACAAUAAGAACUGAUAGGCACUUGCAGCACCUACCUAAAUGAAAGUCAUAGGCAGGCCUGAAAACUGCAGGAUUAUGGAGAAUUUUCUUCAGUUUUCCGGCUUAAAACCAGAUGCCCAGAUUUAAAAAUAUUAAUAUGACUUUUGAUAAGAGACUUAAAUAUCAGAGCUCAAGUCAGAUUCAGUCUUGCUACAUUGCUGUCUUUUUUUAAAUGCAAAUUUAAGCUGUGGGUUGGUUUCUUUUAUUUUAUAGAUAUAAUUGCUUUUCACAAAAAAGGAAAAAUGAGAAUUUUACAUGAAGGAACCAUCUUUUAUGAGAAAUGGAAUUUAAUAGCUAUGACCACUAUAUACGUUAUGCUUACAUGAAAAGAAAGAUGAGGCUUGAUGUACAAGCCCCCUGCAAAUAAGGCCAUCAUACAUCUGAAAACAUUAGGAAUCAUCAGGCUUGUUUUUAAGAAAGCAGACUUUUGGAGCAGUGAUUCUGAAGUUCUCAGUCAUCCAGGGAAUAUUUGCCACUAUCAGAAUAGAGCUACCCAUCUUUUUAGAAGGUGUCACAUCGAACUAUACAUUAGACAGAUCCUAAUAUCUCCAUCUUAAAUCAACAGCAGUUGUAUUUGUCAGGAGUAACCACUGAGCUGUGAACAGACUUAUUUUUAUAAGCAUAACAGAUUUAACUUUUGUCACCUUUAAUCAAUCUCAGAUACAAAAGCUCCUUAAGUACAUCGUAUUUACCGUGACUUACCUCGCAUCUGUAAACUAAGUGAAAAACCCUAGAAAAAUACAAAUUGUGCUUCAAAUGGUUUGAAGUUGAGAAAGUGUAUGGCAGUGAACUAAUUUGAGAAGCCAAAUGUAUGCAGGUUUAAAACAAUUCCUUUUCCAUAACGAGAAGUAGAGGAGAACUUUCUGUCCAAGUUGCUAAUGGAGACAAUUUAAAAUAUUCCUUUCUUACAGUAAGAGUGGUGGAAACUACUUAGCUCUUUUCAUUUCCCAUGGGAUGAAUAUUGACUGAGUAAUUACAGCUAUAAUCUCUUCAGUUUCUUUACAAAAGUUUCCUGCAGAAUUAUGUCAUUAAAACAGAGCUGACUGUAUGUAACAUGCCUAUAAUUCAAUUGUGCUUAAUGGCUCCGACCUACUUAAUUUUACCCAUUUUCCUUUGUAUUUGGAAUUUCAUGAAUGCUUUGUUAUAGAAGUUUAUGAAAUAGAUGACAAACUGAACAUAAAAUUUUCAUUUAUCUAUAUAUAAAGGUACUGACUUGAUGGUAUAACCACAGGAAACAUCCAGAUGCCUAUGAAGAAUCAAAAACCUUUUCGAGAAAAAAACCCCUAUCUUGAAAUUUAAGUUCUGUCUUAAGCACUGUGAAAAAGUGUAUUUUUAAAAUCUGUGUCUGAAGCAUAUUUGCUCCUCGCUGCCCUCAGUCCAAACAAACGAGCCAAUUUUAUACAUAUUUACAAUAUUUAAUAAAGAUAUACAAAUCAUUGAAAGUUUUCAUAUAAAUGUUGCAGCACUUAAAAUUAAGGAGAAGCAUUUAAUUUGCUCUCAGCUCAGACAGUAAAAUUAAAUGGAAACAUAACAGCCUUCUGCAGAAAGAAAGCAUUAAACCACUUCUCUCUGUGGGGAAAGGCAGUAUCUCAAUAUGAUUAACAAACCCAAAUUUAAUUCAAGCAGUUACUAACUCUACUAAUUUAAAUGCUUAAACAUUUGCUGCCUGACUGAUAAAUAAUCAGCUUCUUUUGGAUUCUGCAUUAGUAUGUUUUACCAAACCCUUGAAAGUUAUUCAAUAAGGUUUUCUAUAAAUUCUUUGGCUACAUACAUUAAGGAAGUUAAACACAUGUGAAAUCUACCAACUAUAAGUACCUGAAAAAUAGUACACAUUUACAGAUUAUACAUGGAUCAGAGUGCAAAUAGCAUGAGAGAAUUGUUGUCAAGGACUAAGUUACUUACAACAUCCAUUUUUACAUCCCAAACAGAAGGCUGUGGACAAAAAAAAAUUGCAAUUCUUAGAUUUAGAAAUCUCUUUGAAGAGCUUCUUGAUCACCUAAAAAUGCCUCAAACUGAACCACUGCUUCAUGUAUUAAUGUUACCACUUUUAAUUAUAACCUGCAGUAUCUGCUUCCUCUUUUUUUUUUCUUUUGAAGAAUAUAGAAGUUCAGAAACUGCUCAUAUAAAGAACAGAAAUACUGGUUGUAUUCCCAUAUGGAAUUAUAAUGACUUUAGAUUCUUUUAUGUCUUCUGAAGAUAUUUUUGUAAGCAAAAUAUGAAAGCAGAAAUCCAUGUCAGUCCUCCAAAAGAGCUUUGGGUUAUAGUGAUUUUAUGGUGAAAAUGUUUAAUUUUCUUCUUGCAGCAUUUCUUCUAUUUCUUUAUCCCAGUUUUCA